GGUUGUGUAGUGUAGUGGUCAUCACUCCAGGUUUUGAUCAUCUUUGACUCGAAUUCUGGUAACCCCGGUUCAAACCCGGGCACGACCU